GUCUCUUUAGCUCAAUUGGGAGAGCGCCAGACUGAAGUCUUCGGUCAUUAAAUCUGGAGGUAUCGCGUAAGUGCACUACACGUAUCUCGAUCAUUCAAAUACUAAUUUGACACAGGUUCGAUCCGCGAAAGGGACA